AUGGAGAACACCAAGUCAUCGUGGUUCCAGGCGCAGGCAGCGGCAGCGGCAGCGGACCUGACGCUGGCGAUCGGGCCGGCAGGCGGCAACCAAGGCUGGGAAGAGAACAAGGAGGCGGUAGCGCCGACAGCGCGCGUGAACGGCAAGGACGUGCGGCUGUUCCCGUGCCUCUUCUGCAACAAGACCUUCCUCAAGUCGCAGGCGCUCGGCGGCCACCAGAACGCGCACCGCAAGGACCGACUCGGCAGCUUCAGCGACCCAUACAUGUACGGCCCCUACGGCGAAGGCCCCUUCCGCGGAACCGCCGUUGAUUCUGGCAGCAGCUGGUCCAUGAGCACCUCCGUCCUAUCGCACGGCGGUAGCCGCGUGUCGGCGCCGGCGAGCGCUGAUGCCAGGACUGAGAGGUGGAGCAGCGCCGCUCCACGCUUUGCAGAGCACGCGCAGGCGCAGCUCCUUGUGGAUCCAGCGGCUGGACAUGACGGCGCGGUGGACAUGCUCAGCACGAGGGCCUCCGUUAGCAGUGCCGGUGAGGAGCUCGAGCUCGAGCUCCGCCUCUAG
rnacentral:rRNA from 1 species